rnacentral:rRNA from 1 species
GACAGAGGGUGCAAACGUUGUUCGGAAUUACUGGGCGUAAAGCGAGUGUAGGCGGUCCUCUAAGUCGGGUGUGAAAGCCCCGGGCUCAACCCGGGAAGUGCACUCGAAACUGGAGGGCUAGAGUAUCGGAGAGGUUGGUGGAAUUCUCGGUGUAGAGGUGAAAUUCGUAGAUAUCGAGAGGAACACCGGCGGCGAAGGCGGCCAACUGGACGAAUACUGACGCUGAGACUCGAAAGCGUGGGGAGCAAACAGG